UCUCUCUCUUUCUCUACUUGAGCAUGUGGAUAAUGAACCCUAGGAGCUUAAUAUCUGUUUGCAUGUAAAAGGAAAUAUGAUUGGGAGCUGAUAUUCUGAACUAAUCGACCAGUCUCUCAGCUGGAAGGUAAAGACGGUUGGUUCAAUAUAAGAUCAUUCAAACAAAAAAUCUUAUUUAACGCUGUAUAAAAUAUGUAGAAACCUACUUACCCUCUGUUUGUUUGCUAAGAAAAUGCAAGAAAAAAACAGAAAUUUCAUCUUUUAAAACAUUUUACUGUUGUUUUGUGGGUAGGAGUUCAAUAAUUAUGCUUAUAAGAGCAUUUGAGGUCACACACUUAAUAACAUUAGUACUUUUUAUUGAACUCACUUGGGUUUCUGUGGAAACUCAAGGACAUAAAUGCAAAAGUUUGAGUCUUUGUUCUAUAAUUAUGUUGGAUUGAAAAUUUGGUGCCUUUCUUCUUUCUUGCAUGUGCUUGGAAUUACAAUGAAAAUUUCCUUUCAUUGUUUUUGGGUUGUUGAAGGGUUUGAGCAUGAGGAAAAAGGUGAUUUUGCAACCUGACCAAAGCAUUUCAGAGUUGCUUGGGUGAAGCUGAUGACUGUGUGCAUUGCAGGACUACAACAAAAUGGUGCAACAUGUAUUCGUGGACUUUGAAAUAGAAACAAGGUGACUUUUUGUGCGUGAAUAAAGGCUUGCCAUUGCCCUUGCUGCUGUUGUGGGACAGAGCCAGUGUAUAUGUACAGAAGUUGCGAACACUGAAUGUUGACUGACUUUGAAGCUGCUACAAGAAAAACGGAAUUAAGGUUCUGCAUUUGGACUAGCAAAGAAUUUCACCAGUACCAGGUUGUUGGGAGGAAGCUCCCUACGGCAUCUGAUGAGCACCCCAAGAUUUACCGAAUGAAGCUCUGGGCCACCAAUGAGGUUCGCGCCAAGUCCAAGUUCUGGUAUUUCCUGAGGAAGCUGAAGAUGGUCAAGAAAAGCAAUGGCCAAGUGCUUGCCAUUAAUGAGUCAAUGUUGUUUUGCGGUGGGGAAGUGGUUCCUCCUUAACUCUCCUCCUGGCUUAAUCCGAGUUGUUGCCAAAGUUCUCCGCCUUUGACCCAGUCUUUUAUCACAUUUAUUUCGCUUUUUUGGUGUUUUGUAUUUGAUGUUUGGCUUUAGUGGCAAAUGUGAAGGAGGCUGCGUCAGAGGCAUCCCUUCGAAAUGACCGGUUGAUUUGGAGACUUCUUUCAACUUUAUUUUGCUAAUUCAGUGAGAGUAGUUGUCAAAGAUGGCAUCAAAGCUUAGCAAAUCUAUGCUUGAUGGAUUGAUAAGUGAAGGACUUUUGGUUAAAUCCCAAGCAGGGAAUGCAUUCUUUGCUAUAGUUCCCGGACAGGUCCUCUUGGCUUUCCUUGAUGUUAUCAGUAAGUUGAUUAGGGUUCUAUAACCUAUAGGUGUUUAUAGGUCAUUUAUGCUUUUAUAGCUUACUUGUCCAUUAGAUUGACAUAGCCUAUAAAUGGCAAUACAUGUGUUAGUUUUGACCAUAGGUGUCUACAGAUAAUCUAUUCUUUUGUACAACAAACUAGCACAUGGUUUGAUUCUGUUAUGGGAUUUGGUUUGAUUCUAUUUAAGUCUGGGUCUUUUGGUUUCAUUAUGUUAUAGGUAUUUAAUAAUUUGAGGCAAUGACAGAUUAUACUUUUGUCCACCACAUUCGUAGAAUGCUUGGCGUGUUUUGUGCAGUUGAUUUUUUGGCCUUAAUUCUGUAAUAAUAGCCGUUGUCUUCACUAAAUUUUCCCAUUUGUCUACACACCUACCAGUUUCCAAAUUUGUAGCAACAAAAUAAACACCCAUUGAUUUGAUGCUAUUAAA